GCAUAGCGUAGGCAUGCUACUGAGGUGUUUGAAGAAAAUUCAAGCAGCGUCCAUAUAUAUGUGAUAUAAAGGGCUACAUGAUCAGCAAGGACUGAAGAUAUCCCAUGUUGACAUGGGCUACAUGAUCAGCAAGUACUGUUAUAUUUUGAUAUCAGCGAUGUACAUUAGAAGGCAAAACAUUAGAAAGGAUAAAUGUAGAUUAAGUAGAAUAUCGUAUUUUGAAGC